UUUUCAUUGACAUCCAUUUCUUUUGUCUUCUUCCCAAGGUCAUCCAUCUGUGCUUCCGACCCCUUAUCCGGCAGCAGCACUUCCACUGAGUAGCUAACCUUCUUGGAAUGGAUGAUGCUGGUUCUUUUGAAGACUCUUAUCCUGGCAUUACAUGCAGGCUUCAGUUCUUUGCGGGAAUGGGACCCGUUCUUGGGGUUCCACGACUGGCCGUUAUUUGACAUGCCAUGUUUGGCCUGGAAACCUAAGAUCUCGGGGCUCUGGAGACGGGCAGAUCGAGGGUUGGUGUCACGGCAGGAGACUUAUGUGUCAUGAGGGAGGCCAGAAGAUCUUUCGCUGUGGGCCCAAAGACCCAAGGUCUUUGCGAUCUUUGGACACAGAGCUCAAAAAAGUGACAAAACAGACUUUUAACAUCGUAAGCCAGUGGGUUGUUGUUAUGUCUCCCACUCGCUCUGAAAAUGGGGGGACACCUCCCUCUCCCUUAUUAGGGAGAGAGAGAGAACCUGUGGUUUGUCGAAUUUUGGAAGAAAUGCAAAGCCUUUGGGGUGACUUUGGUCUGUGUCUUUGCUAUUGCUUAGCACACGUUUGGUCUCGGUGAUGGUACCGAUGCACUUUUUUUUGCCGUUGGGGGGAGGGGGAAUCGUUGCUUGCAGCUGCUUAUGCGCGGAAGGGGGAAUCUUGGGAGGGACUUUGGGGUUCUCACGUUUAACUGUUUUUCAUUCUUUGGAGCACUUCUCUGUUUUUGUGAAUGUUUGCGAAGAAAACAUUUCAGGAUGUAUAUUGUAUACAUUUCUCUGUCAUUAAAUUGGACCUUUGAAACUUU